AUUGAACGCUGGCGGCAGGCCUAACACAUGCAAGUCGAGCGAGCGGCGGACGGGUGAGUAAUGUAUGGGGACUGCCCGAUGGAGGGGGAUAACUACUGGAAACGGUGGCUAAUAACGCAUACUAUCGGAUAACCCAUAUGGGAUUAGCUAGGAGGUGGGGUAAAGGCUCACCAAGGCGACGAUCUCAAGCUGGUCUGAGAGGAUGAUCAGUAACACUGGUAGCGAGAAACGGCCCAGACUCAUACGGAUGCAGCAGUGGGGAAUAGUGCACAAUGGGCGCAAGCCGGAUGCAGCCAUGCCGCGUGUAUGAAUAAGUCCUUAGGGUUGUAAAGUACUUUCAUCGGGGAGGCGUUACCCGCAGAAGAAUCACCGGCUAACGCCGUGCCAGCAGUCGCGGUAAUAC
rnacentral:rRNA from 1 species